GGGUAUAGCUCAGUGGUAGAGCGAGUGCUUGGCAUGCAUGAGAUCCUGGGUUCAAUCCCCAGCAUGGCCA
rnacentral:tRNA from 1 species